CCUCUCCAUGUUCUGUGCGGUCUCCUGGGUGGGUCAGGAUUAGGGACAGGUUUAGAGUCGGGGAGGUUUUGGUGGAGAACAGUAGGUCAUAGAAGCCCAUACAUUCUAGGUGUAAUAACGCUGUGUACAGAGGUGCAAGUGGAGGUUCCUACAAUAUAGGAUCCUCUCAGCGUAUAUCUCCUAUAUAAGAUCAUUCUCCUGAUUGACCCAUCAAGGAUGGAUAGGAAUGGGGACAAGAUGGCAGAGAGUAUAAUAAAUCUCACCCUAGAGAUCCUCCUCCGGCUUACUGGAGAGGAAUACACAGUAGUGAAGAAGACCUCUAGUGAGCAUUGUCAGGCCCCGGUAUCUGAAGGACGGGGAGGAAUCCUGAGCCCAAUAUCAAGGCCAAGACCUCACAUCCCAAUACAUGAGAAAGUCAACAGAGAGAAGAUCCUA